rnacentral:rRNA from 1 species
GAUGAACGCUGGCGGCGUGCCUAAUACAUGCAAGUCGAGCGAACGGACGAGAAGCUUGCUUCUCUGAUGUUAGCGGCGGACGGGUGAGUAACACGUGGAUAACCUACCUAUAAGACUGGGAUAACUUCGGGAAACCGUAGCUAAUACCGGAUAAUAUUUUGAACCGCAUGGUUCAAAAGUGAAAGACGGUCUUGCUGUCACUUAUAGAUGGAUCCGCGCUGCAUUAGCUAGUUGGUAAGGUAACGGCUUACCAAGGCAACGAUGCAUAGCCGACCUGAGAGGGUGAUCGGCCACCCUGGAACUGAGACACGGUCCAGACUCCUACGGGAGGCAGCAGUAGGGAAUCUUCCGCAAUGGGCGAAAGCCUGACGGAGCAACGCCGCGUGAGUGAUGAAGGUCUUCGGAUCGUAAAACUCUGUUAUUAGGGAAGAACAUAUGUGUAAGUAACUGUGCACAUCUUGACGGUACCUAAGCAGAAAGCCACGGCUAACUACGUG